rnacentral:tRNA from 1 species
AGCAGCGUGGCUUAGUGGAAAAAGUACUGUCUUGGGAGUCAGAGGACGUGGGUUCUAAUCCCGCCUCUGCUG